CUACCGGAACCUUGGGUGACAUUAUGUUAAACACGGGGGAUUCUCGCUACGAUCUGUCUGGGAUGUCAUUUACUACACCAGACAGAGAUAACGACAGGUAUAGUAGUGGUAACUGUGCUGCUCACCGUAACAAAAGAGGAGGCAGGUGGUUUAACCGCUGUCACAACGCCUUCCUUAACGGUCAGUGGUCCCUGACAGACUGGUGGGCACCAUGGUAUCCUACAGUACAGAAUGGAGCAAAUGUGAUGCAGACCAUGAUGUUAAUCAAACGUCACUAGAUGAACAUUCAAAAUUGAGGGACCAGGCCUCAAAUUGACGAGGACCGCCAAUUAAUCAGAUGAAAAAAUUCUGAUAAAAGAGACAGUAUUAAAUUUAUCAUGGGAUUCUAUUCAUUCUUUUUUUUUUUUUUUUUUUUAAAUAAUGUUAUAUAUUAAGAGAGAAAACUUGUAAUGGAUUGUAU